AGCAGCCGCGGUAAUUCCAGCUCCAAUAGCGUAUAUUAAAGUUGUUGCAGUUAAAAAGCUCGUAGUUGAAUUUCGGGAUCAGACUGUGCGGUCGUGCCUCGGUACGCACUGGCAUUAUUGGUUCCUACCUUCUGAAGAACCGCGAUGUCAUUAAUUUGGUGUCGCGGGGAAUCAGGACUGUUACUUUGAAAAAAUUAGAGUGUUUAAAGCAGGCUUACGCUUGAAUACAUUAGCAUGGAAUAAUGAAAUAGGACGUUUGAUUCUAUUUUGUUGGUUUCUAGGAUCGACGUAAUGAUUAAUAGGGAUAGUUGGGGGCAUUAGUAUUCAAUUGUCAGAGGUGAAAUUCUUGGAUUUAUUGAAGACUAACUACUGCGAAAGCAUUUGCCAAGGAUGUUUUCAUUAAUCAAGAACGAAAGUUAGGGGAUCGAAGACGAUCAGAUACCGUCGUAGUCUUAACCAUAAACUAUGCCGACUAGGGAUCGGAUGAUGUUAAUUUUUUAAUGACUCA
rnacentral:rRNA from 1 species